rnacentral:rRNA from 2 species
AGCAGUUUUAAUCAACUGUUACCACUAGAUGAAUUCAUAGUCUAGUUGGAGGUAAACGCUGUGAACUGAAACAUCUCAUUAGCAGCAGGAAUAUAAAGAAAUUUCGAUUCCCUAAGUAGCGGCGAGCGAACGGGGAACAGCCCAAACCAAAGUGCUUGCACUUUGGGGUUGUAGGACUGAACAUUUGAGUUACCAAAGAACUUGAUAGUCGAAGGAUUUGGGAAAAUCCGCCAUAGAUGGUGAUAGCCCAGUAGAUUAAAUCAAAUUCUCUCAGUUCAGGAUCCUGAGUACGGCGGAACACGUGAAAUUCCGUCGGAAUCCGGGAGGACCAUCUCCCAAGGCUAAAUACUACCUAGUGACCGAUAGUGAACC